CCCAGGUACUUGUGUUGUUUUCUAAUUACUAGAUGCAAUUAGAGUAAUUCUACUUCUUUCUACAGGUUCUGCAGUCUGACAGUGGAAUCUGACUGGGACUAAAUUCAGCUGUGGUUAUCUACCUAGCAAAAUACGUGUUUGCUUCGGGAAUAAGCGAUGGAAAAGAAAUAGUAGAAACAGAUGAACAGGCUUCAACUUGGAUGGCACUGCUGGCAAAAGCAGCAAGACAAUUUGCAGUAUAUGAAGAGAGAGUUACAUCUACUUAAUGACGCACAGGAUUAUGCAAAGCCAGGAGAAUGCAAACAAGCUAUGAGCUGCCGAAGUAGUUGCUCCCAUUAUGUAUGGCCCCACAGGACAGAUAACUCGUGUAACUGCAUAUAAUUAUGAAGGUAUUAUUUUACCAUUUGCUAGAUUGAUUUUCAGCUAUAAUAUAUUGUUUGCACAAUCAGGAAAGUUCAGAGGGUGCCAUGAAGGUGAUCUGAGGGCUGGAGCACCUUUCCUAUGAAGACAGGCUGAGAGAGCUGGGCUUGUUCAGCCUGUAGAAGAGGAGGCU